rnacentral:rRNA from 1 species
UACAGAGGGGGCAAGCGUUAUUCGGAAUUACUGGGCGUAAAGGGCUCGUAGGCGGCCAACUAAGUCGGACGUGAAAUCCCUCGGCUUAACCGGGGAACUGCGUCCGAUACUGGAUGGCUGGAGGUUGGGAGAGGGAUGCGGAAUUCCAGGUGUAGCAGUGAAAUGCGUAGAUAUCUGGAGGAAUACCGGUGGCGAAGGCGGCAUCCUGGACCGGCAUUGACGCUGAUGAGCGAAAGCCAGGGGAGCAAACGGG